rnacentral:piRNA from 1 species
UAGCGACAAGGCAGAAGUUAUCUCGGG